rnacentral:rRNA from 1 species
CACGUAGGGCGCGAGCGUUGUCCGGAAUUAUUGGGCGUAAAGAGCUCGUAGGCGGCCUGUUGCGUCCGCUGUGAAAGCCCGGGGCUUAACCCCGGGUCGGCAGUGGAUACGGGCAGGCUAGAGGUAGGUAGGGGAGAAUGGAAUUCCCGGUGUAGCGGUGAAAUGCGCAGAUAUCGGGAGGAACACCGGUGGCGAAGGCGAGUCCCUGGACAGGUCCUGACGCUGAGGCACGAAAGCUAGGGGAGCAAACAGG